CCUACGGGGGGCUGCAGUGGGGAAUAUUGGACAAUGGGGGCAACCCUGAUCCAGCCAUGCCGCGUGUGUGAAGAAGGCCCUCGGGUUGUAAAGCACUUUCAGUGAGGAAGGACGCCUGGUGGUUAAUACCCAUCAGGAAAGACAUCACUCACAGAAGAAGCACCGGCUAACUCCGUGCCAGCAGCCGCGGUAAUACGGAGGGUGCGAGCGUUAAUCGGAAUUACUGGGCGUAAAGCGCGCGUAGGUGGCUUGAUAAGCCGGUUGUGAAAGCCCCGGGCUCAACCUGGGAACGGCAUCCGGAACUGUCAAGCUAGAGUGCAGGAGAGGAAGGUAGAAGUCCCGGUGUAGCGGUGAAAUGCGUAGAGAUCGGGAGGAAUACCAGUGGCGAAGGCGGCCUUCUGGACUGACACUGACACUGAGGUGCGAAAGCGUGGGUAGCAAACAGGAUUAGAUACCCCGGUAGUC
rnacentral:rRNA from 1 species